rnacentral:tRNA from 1 species
GGAGAGGUGGCCGAGCGGUCGAAGGCGCCCGAGAGAGACUAUCGGGAGCAGGUGCUCAAUCGACCUGCCGAGAGUCCGAAUCUCUCCCUCUCCG